GAACAAACAGAUUUCGAGUCACCAUUGAUCAGCUGAAACACGAACUUCAACAUUUUGUUAAUAACAUCGUCACUUUAAAGGCUAAUUGACGUUUCUGGUAUUACUAGAAAUGUCUGAGGAUAAAAAGAAAGAACCGUCGAAGGAGGAGCCCAAGGGGGACAAGACAGCUCUCGAGGAAAAUGCGUUCGAGGCGCUGGAGAAAGACUUCCAGGAAGUCUUGAACGAGCUGAUGGGCGACAGAAGUUUGGAGAAAUUUCGUAUGGAAUAUGAGAAAUUGCACCGUGCGCUGAAGAAGUCUCAUGAAAGUGAGAAACGUCUUAUGCAAAAAUGUCGAGAGUUGAACGCCGAAAUUGUCGCAAACUCUGCCAAAGUGUCCACAGCGCUGAAACUGUCCCAAGAAGACCAGACAACAAUUGCCUCUCUCAAAAAGGAAAUUGAGAAAGCAUGGAAAAUGGUGGAUGCAUCUCAUGAGAAAGAACAACGUGCAAGGGAAACUAUUCAGUCUUUGAAGAUGGAGAUUGCAAAUUUGAGCAAGCUAGUAGAACAAGGUGCUGGUCUCUCAAUGGGUCAAGAACACAGCGUUAAUGAAUUACUCAAAGCUAAGGAAGAUCUCACCAAAGAAAGGGAUGAACAGUUGAAUGAGAUUGUGAAGCUACGCGAAGCUUUAACUGAGGCUAAUAAUAGAAUGGCCAAGGCUGAGAAAGAUAAAGAUGAUGCAGAAUCUAAGAUAGCUGAGUUGAACCAAGAUAUCCAGGUGCGAAGCAAUGAAGCCCAGCGCGAGUCUCGUAGAAAAGACAAACUGGAGAGGGAGUUGAAACAAUCCAAAGCUGAACAAGAAACCAAAGCGUCUGAAAUUAAAACAAUGUCAACACAGCUUGGAAAGUACAAGGAGGAUGUUUCAAAGUUGGAAACACAGCUGAAGGAGAAUAGGAUUCUCUAUGAGCGUGCUCAGAAAGAUAGCGAUAUAUUGAAUGCCCGGUUUACCAAACUGCAGACUGAUUACGAGCAACAACUUAUUAACGCUGAUACACUAGCUCAAGAAAACCAACAGAGAGUUGCUGAACUUAGAGCUAAAGAAGAUGAGAUCAAUGCAUUGAAACAGGACACUAUUCGUCUUAGUAAGAUGCGUGAAACCAUCCAGCGUAGACUGCGUUCAGUGGAAGAUCAGAAAGCUGAGACUGAACAACAAAAAGAGACUCUAAAGAGUCAGAUUGUUGGUCUUGAAAGAGAAAUUGAAGCUGGUAAAAAACAGCAAGAAAUGGACAGGAAAGCCAUCGACGACCUUGUGCGUGAACGUGAUAUCCUGAAUAAGAACAUGUUGAAGGCUGCCAGCGCUACGCAGAAACAACUGAGCUUGGUGAAAUUGCACGAACAGUCCAAGAAGAAUCUGGAACAAGAAAUCCAGAACUACAAGGAAGAAGCCCAGAAGCAGCGUAAGAUAAUCUAUCAGUUGGAGAAAGAGCGUGAUCGUUACAUUAAUGAAGCCAGCGAACUUACUCAGAAGGUUUUACAACACAUGGAGGAUGUGAAAGUCCGUGAAAUGCAGAUCUUUGAUUACAAGAAGAAAAUUGCUGAAGCCGAAACCAAGUUGAAACAGCAGCAGAAUUUGUACGAGGCUGUACGCAGUGAUCGUAACUUGUACAGCAAGAACCUGAUAGAAUCCCAGGAUGAGAUUACAGAAAUGAAGAGGAAGUUGAAAAUCAUGAACCAUCAAAUUGAUCAACUCAAGGAAGAGAUCACUGCUAAAGAAGCCGCUCUGGUCAAAGAGCAUCUGGAUCAUCAGCGGGUUGAGAAAGAGAAAGAGGCUCUAAAGAUGGAGCUUCAGAGGAUGAAACAACAAGCUGCUGAGAACAAGGCUUACAUCGAAUCGCAGGAGGCAGAGGAACGUAAACUCCUCAAGAUCAUCUCUGAAGCUGAUGCUGAAAGACUGCGACAGAAGAAGGAACUAGAUCAAGUAAUAAGUGAGAGAGACAUUCUGGGUACUCAACUUGUACGUCGUAAUGAUGAGCUGGCCUUGCUGUAUGAGAAAAUCAAAAUCCAACAGUCAACUCUGAAUAAAGGUGAGAUCCAGUACCGACAACGCUUGGAGGAUGUACGCCUGCUCAAACUUGAGAUCAAAAAGCUGCGUAGGGAGAAGAAUAUUCUUAAUAAAAGUGUGGCAAAUGUUGACGACUUGAGGCGAGAAGUCUAUCAUUUGCAGCGAGAACUUCUCCGCGAGAGAACACGUUGUAAGGCACUGGAGGAGGAACUAGAGAAUCCAAUGAACAUCCAUCGCUGGCGUAAACUCGAAGGCAGUGAUCCCAGCACAUACGAAAUGAUACAGAAAAUCCAAACAUUGCAGCGCCGUUUGAUUCAGAAGACUGAGGAGGUAGUGGAGAAGGAAUUGUUGAUUCAAGAGAAAGAAAAGUUGUACGUUGAAUUGAAACAUAUCCUGGCAAGACAACCUGGGCCUGAAGUCGCUGAACAGUUGCAGAUCUAUCAGCAAACACUCAAAGAAAAAACAAAACAAAUGAAAGUGAGCAAUGUCUUCUGAAUUAAACAUGUACGAAUCUCAAGCUAACGAGUAUAAAUAUGAAAUAGAGAGACUUGCUAGAGAGCUGCAAGAAGCUAAGAAAAAAUACUUCAUCCAGAAAAGAAAAGAGCAGCAACAAAGGGAGCGUGAAAGAGCUUUAGCACAGGCUGGUGCUCCAGUUAUUCAACCUCAGCGACACGACGGACCAAGGUUCACCGGUGGAGGAUUUAAUCUCAAACCAAAAGAACUCAAAGCAUCUUAAAACUAAUUUACAAUUAAUAUCAGAUGCAACAUUCUUCAUUUGGACUUUGAUUUAUUUGUGCUACAUGAAACCCAUGUAUCUGCUCCCUCUGGAAUUGUUUUAUAUUAAUUAAACUACAACAAGCUAUACUGUUUGGUUGUUGUGGUUCAUUAUGUGAUGUUACUUCAUGUUAUGUUGAAGCUGUGCAUUCUUACUUCGAUCAAAAUGCAGUAUGGAGUACUUUUGAUUUCCCUGUGAGGAGAUUGUGAAGUCUUUACUGCUGUCUGUAGGCUAAUAUGUGCCAAAUUUUGUUGUGUGAAUAUGCGUCAGUUAUAAGAUACCUGGUUGAAAUAACUUGGAAAGUCAAUAACAAUAAUACAUACACAGGGUAUUGCCAUAAUUGAUUAUUAUGAUUAUUAAGAUUCUCCUGGUAUAUGCUUCUGAAUGUUUUCUGAUACACAAUUUUCAGUUAACGAAUUACGCAGCUUGAUGUAAUUAGGAACAGUAGAUUAACAUUUUAUUUCCCACUAUACUAGAUGCGUAUAUUCACACUUUGAAAUGUGUUACCGGUGUAUACUGGUCCUGAGACAUCGAUAAACCUGUUGUAAUCCCCUUGGUGUG
rnacentral:misc_RNA from 1 species